AUAAUACUCCCUCCGUCCGGAAUUACUUGUCAUCAAAAUGGAUGUGUCUAGAACUAAAAUACAUCUAGAUACAUCCAUUUCAAUGACAAGUAUUUUCGGACGAAGGGAGUAGUAG
rnacentral:pre_miRNA from 1 species